GCUGGGAGUCACCUGGAAGGGAGUCAGUCUCUUGGGAGCUUGGUGCCCCUGCAGAGGGUCUGGGGCAAGGGGGACAGGGCUUCCUCUCCCUGGAAUCUGUCCGCGUCUGGCCCGGGGGAGCGGGGGUGAGGAACGCACUUCCCGCUGGGCAGAGCUCCGAGGUGACCGGGUUGAGCGCGCCCCGCUGGGCUCUGCGGCGACCUGGCCCCCGAGCUCGGUAGGGGCUUAACCCGCCGGUGCCGACCGCGUGAUUCGCCCCGCCGCCCCGCCGGCCGGCGCUGGGCAGAGCCUGACGGCGGUUGAGUCUGGAAGCUGGUUCCCGAGGCUGGCCCGCGCCUCUAGGGAUGGAAAGUGUUCCCAGACCCGAAAGAGGAAGGGUGGGCGGGGUUGUCCUUGAUGCUCUGCUCCAUACCCCCCUCAGUAACUGGUAGUGUGUCCCCCACGACCUUUUCUUUGAAGCAUUUUGAGUGACAGAUCUGUAAAAAAACUUCACUUGCAUGGAGUCAUUGACAGAAACUCUCCCCAGUGCCUGGGAAUUCUUCUUGGAUUACUGCGUUUUCAGCAGAGUUUUGUGAGCGUCUCACAUCUGCACCUGGAGAAGAAAGGUUUGUGCACGUAUCCACAAAUUGCGGGAGAAUGUGUUUCAAGAACACAAGACCCUCAGGGAGAAAGAGCUGGAAAUGGGACCCAAAGCCUCGCACAGCUACGGACGGAAGUUUGGCGUGGAGCAGGACAGGAUGGACAAGUCCUCCCUGACUUCUUGGUGAUGAAGAGUCACGCUGGCGGAUCCUUUGGGCAUGCUGCUGCCUCCAUGUUACCUUGCUGAUGUUUUCUGGAUGAGACCCCUGAAGCUGCAGAUGGGUGGUCCCUCCCACAAGUUUUUGGAAGCCGUGCUGCUCCAGAUCGGCUAUUGGCUGUGGGCAUCGAAUCCAGCCUGGGAGGGAGAGAAAGUAACAGCUCCAGACUGGAAAGUAAAUCCUGGUUUACUCCCCGGCUGUGGAAGAAUGCGCGCCCUGAGCUGCCUGCAGAGUUGUCAGAGGUGGUGGUGACCCUGUGGGGGUUGGACCCUAAACGCUGCCGCUGAAGUUCCGGAUAAACAAGCAGGAGAGGAGUCGUCAGCUGUCAGCCUUGAGUAUCAGUCAAAGCUGUCCAAGUGCUGCUUGCAGGUUGACUCCAUCUGGGGGUUUGGAGGCAAGUUUGGUGUCCAGUUGGCCAGAGUGGACCAGCUUUUCUGUUCCAGGUGGCUUUUCACCAGAACAUGGGAGGCUCCGAGGGACACACGAGGGCGAACCCUCAGUGCUGGCAGGUUCACGGGCCACAGGGGACACCGCCUCGGCACCUCACCCACACUGGGGCUCAGAGCUGGGGGUGACACCCCACAAC